rnacentral:rRNA from 1 species
AGGUAAGCUACUAAGAGCGAAUGGUGGAUGCCUUGACUGGUAAAGGCGAUGAAGGACGUACUAGACUGCGAUAAGCUACGGGGAGCUGUCAAGAAGCUUUGAUCCGUAGAUUUCCGAAUGGGGCAACCCAAUGUAUAGAGAUAUACAUUACCUAUAUAGGAGCGAACGAGGGGAAUUGAAACAUCUUAGUACCCUCAGGAAAAGAAAUCAAUAGAGAUUGCGUCAGUAGCGGCGAGCGAAAGCGCAAGAGGGCAAACCCAGUGCUUGCACUGGGGGUUGUAGGACUGCAAUGUGCAAGAGCUGAGUUUAGCAGAACAUUCUGGAAAGUAUAGCCAUAGAGGGUGAUAGUCCCGUAUGCGAAAAACAAAGCUUAGCUAGCAGUAUCCUGAGUAGGGCGGGACACGAGAAAUCCUGUCUGAAUCCGGGUCGACCACGAUCCAACCCUAAAUACUAAUACCAGAUCGAUAGUGCACAAGUACCGUGAGGGAAAGGUGAAAAGAACUGAGGUGAUCAGAGUGAAAUAGAACCUGAAACCAUUUGCUUACAAUCAUUCAGAGCCCUAUGUAGCAAUACAG